AAUAGAAAGUAAUUAAGGGCGUAUGGCGGAUGCCUAGGCUCACGGAGGCGAUGAAGGACGUGAUAAGCUGCGAUAAGCCUUGGGUAGGUGCAAAUAACCUUUUAUCCAAGGAUUUCCGAAUGGGACAACCCAGCACUUUGAA
rnacentral:rRNA from 1 species